CCCUUAGAUGUUCGGGGCCGCACGCGCGCUACACUGAAUGAAUCAGCGAGUGUAUGUCCUAGGCCGAAAGGUCCGGGUAACCCGUUGAACCUCAUUCGUGAUUGGGAUAGGGACUUGCAAUUGUUUCCCUUGAACGAGGAAUUCCCAGUAAGCGCAAGUCAUCAGCUCGCGUUGAUUACGUCCCUGCCCUUUGUACACACCGCCCGUCGCUACUACCGAUUGAACGGUUUAGUGAGGGCCUCGGAUUGGUCUCGGCCCGCUCUUUACCGGGCGGCGCCGUUGGUCGAGAAGACGCUCGAACUUGAUCGUUUAGAGGAAGUAAAAGUCGUAACA
rnacentral:rRNA from 1 species